UGAUAUACCUCCUCAGUUUUGUUUGAGACUUAGCAGCAGCCCAUAUCACCUCCCUGACUCCAUGAAGCAGUUCACAACUGCUUCCUCAUGCCUGCUAGGAGAAACUCACAUCUAUCUUAACACAAGAAGUUUACUAGAGCCAACUGUCUAGUCCAACGAGAGCAGAAAAUCCAGCUGAAAUGGUGCAUUUCCAACUGGUAGUGGCCUAAGCAGUAAUUCCUGUGCUGUAAAAUUCACUGCUCAAAAUAAUUGAAAUAUUUUAUACUUCUGCACAAUCACCACAGCUGUCACAGGGAGGAGAGAGGUACAGGGAAAUGUAGAGGAAAGAUGGGAGCAAUCUAGCAGGUGGCUGAAUAUAUGAGCUGAAAGAUAGUGAAGAAUCAAGGAAGACACCAAAGGUUCAGUUCUGGAAAAAGUGUCUUCUCCAUCAACCCAAGGUGAUUCUUCUCACAAGCACUCUUCCAGAAUCAGCAUCCCAAACCUUCAAGAAAUUCCAGAGAUGCUUUCCGCAGCUCACUGUGUGUUCCUUAAAGAGUCAAGGGGGCAUUUCCCAGAGACUGAGUUGAAGAGAAACAUAAAUAAACCUUGGUGCCCUGGUUAGGCCUCUGAGCUGGAAUGACAAACACCUCCCCUGCUCUCUGUCGCUGAUACCACCAGCCCCUUGGGUCACUGCUGAUGGCCAAAACCUUCACACUCUGGGACUCUGGUGAUUUAUUACUUCUUAAUCGUUUUUCUGUGAAGAUUCCCAGUUGGAGGUCCCCCCCUCUCCCAGUUCAGCGUAGGCCUGCGAGAGCAAAGCCUCAAGCCCCAAAAUCUAGUCUCUUUGAAAGCAUCUUAUUCACCGACAUUUUUGGUGAGUAAUGAGAAGUGU